rnacentral:antisense_RNA from 1 species
UUCAGUUGCAGGAAUUUAGCCAAUUCAGAGAUCUUGUUCUCCAUAAUUUGGAAUUUUCCUUCGGAUUUGAUCAAGUUGGAUAGAGUUGGUCAAACCCAAUGGGAAAAAGAUGAAAACAACAAGAAACAGAAACAAACAACAACAGCAACAACAACAAAAACAAGGGCAGCAGCUACCCACAAAUCAACAGCCGAGCAAAGCCAGGGCUGUGUGGGAGCUAUGCACAGGUUCUGCCUCCAGAAGCCUUCAGUGCCAGCCUCUGAGCCAGAGGGUUCCAAGCAGAAGAGGUCCUCCAAGCCCCUCUCAGCUCUUACUUACGGCAUCCCAGAUGCCCUAUUCCUCUUCUGCAGAGAGAAGGUGGGUCAGCCACUAAAUGGUGCUGGGACCUUGCAGUUUGGUGGGAAGGAGGAAGCUUACUCAAGCAAGGAAGAUGAGACAGGCAGAAACCCACGCAUAAGU